ACGCACGCUGGCGGCGUGCUUAACACCUGCAAGUCGCACGGAAAGGCCCCCUUGUGGGGUACUCGAGUGGCGAACGGGUGAGUAACACGUGAGUAACCUACCCUUGACUUUGGGAUAACUUCAGGAAACUGGGGCUAAUACCGGAUAGGAGCUCCUGCUGCAUGGUGGGGGUUGGAAAGUUUCGGCGGUUGGGGAUGGACUCGCGGCUUAUCAGCUUGUUGGUGGGGUAGUGGCUCACCAAGGCUUUGACGGGUAGCCGGCCUGAGAGGGUGACCGGCCACAUUGGGACUGAGAUACGGCCCAGACUCCUACGGGAGGCAGCAGUGGGGAAUAUUGCACAAUGGGCGGAAGCCUGAUGCAGCAACGCCGCGUGCGGGAUGACGGCCUUCGGGUUGUAAACCGCUUUCGCCUGUGACGAAGCGUGAGUGACGGUAAUGGGUAAAGAAGCACCGGCUAACUACGUG
rnacentral:rRNA from 1 species